AAAAUUUACAAGAACGGUAUGUAAAUAUUAAAUUUCGGUAAUUAACCUAACAAUAUCGUAUGUCAUUACAAUAUUUAAUUAGCGAACUAAUAACAAAAUUUAUUUAAUUAAAAAAAAAGUAACUAUUACUAAUUAUGCAGGUUAAUUUUUGCGGAUGAGAAUAAAGGUUUUUUCCAAUUACAUCAACAAGAUCCUGAUGCAGUAUUCUGGACACCAGACAAUACGCAUUAUAAAGAUAUUAAUGCCGCAACUAAAAUUCCUUUAAUAACCAAGGAACGAGUAGAACUUUUUUUGCAGAGGUAUGAUGUGCUGAAAAAUCUUGGCAAAGAAAUGUACGAAAAUCGAUAUCUUCUUCAUGCCAGGAUAGCACAAAGUAAUAGCUCAAUUUUCAUUCAAGGACAUUGUUUGGCCCAAAUGAAAAAAUCAGUGCAGUAUAAAUAGUGAUAUUCAAAUGUCCAAUACUGGUUUUAUUGAAGGGACUCAUUGCGAAUGUGCUGUAGGUGGUGGUGAUACAGCUCAUUGUAAACACGUCGCAGUACUUCUUUGGGCAAUGGAAGAAAUGG